GUGUCAGCAGCCGCGGUAAUACGUAGGUGGCGAGCGUUGUCCGGAAUUACUGGGUGUAAAGGGCGUGUAGGCGGGUUCAUAAGUCAGAUGUGAAAUACCCAGGCUUAACUUGGGAGCUGCAUCUGAAACUAUGGAUCUUGAGUGCUGGAGAGGAAAGCGGAAUUCCCAGUGUAGCGGUGAAAUGCGUAGAUAUUGGGAGGAACACCAGUGGCGAAGGCGGCUUUCUGGACAGUAACUGACGCUGAGGCGCGAAAGCGUGGGGAGCAAACAGGAUUAGAUACCCUGGUAGUCCACGCUGUAAACGAUGGAUACUAGGUGUAGGGGGUAUCGACCCCUUCUGUGCCGGAGUUAACACAAUAAGUAUCCCACCUGGGGAGUACGGCCGCAAGGUUGAA
rnacentral:rRNA from 1 species